rnacentral:rRNA from 1 species
UACGUAGGUGGCGAACGUUAUCCGGAAUUAUUGGGCGUAAAGGGUGCGUAGGUGGCCUGACAAGUUAUCAGUGGCAAAUCGAGGCUCAACCUCGUGGAAACUGGUAAUACUGUUCGGCUUGAGUACAGGAGAGGUUAACGGAACUCUAUGUGGAGCGGUAAAAUGCACAGAUAUAUAGAAGAACAUCAAUAAAGGCGAAGGCAGUUAACUAUUCUGUUUACUGACACUGAGGCACGAAAGCGUGGGGGAGCAAAACGG